CCUACGGGUGGCAGCAGUAGGGAAUUUUGCGCAAUGGGUGAAAGCCUGACGCAGCAACGCCGCGUGAACGAGAUGCCCUUCGGGGUGUAAAGUUCUGUCAUUGGGGACGAAAAAUGACGGUACCCACAGAGGAAGCACCGUCUAACUCCGUGCCAGCAGCCGCGGUAAUACGGAGGGGGCAAGCGUGGUCCGGAUUCAUUGGGCGUAAAGAGUUCGUAGGCGGCAUGUAAAGUCAGGUGUUAACGGCGCAGGCUCAACCUGGGAAUGGAACUUGAUACUUGCAAGCUGGAAUGCGGUAGAGGUAAAGGGAAUUCCUGGUGUAGCGGUGAAAUGCUUAGAUAUCAGGAGGAACAUCGGUGGCGUAGGCGCUUUACUGGGCCGUAAUUGACGCUGAGGAACGAAAGCCAGGGUAGCAAAUGGGAUUAGAUACCCUAGUAGUC
rnacentral:rRNA from 1 species